CUACGGGUGGCUGCAGUGAGGAAUAUUGCGCAAUGGGGGAAACCCUGACGCAGCGACGCCGCGUGGAUGAUGAAGGCCUUAGGGUCGUAAAAUCCUGUCAGGUGGGAAGAAGUGGAUAUAGAUUAAUACUCUAUUUCUUUGACGGUACCACCAAAGGAAGCACCGGCUAACUCCGUGCCAGCAGCCGCGGUAAUACGGAGGGUGCAGCGUUGUUCGGAAUUACUGGGCGUAAAGCGUGCGUAGGCGGUUUGUUAAGUCAGAUGUGAAAGUCCAUGGCUCAACUGUGGAAGUGCAUUUGAAACUGGCAGACUUGAGUAAUGGAGGGGGUGAUGGAAUUCCCGGUGUAGAGGUGAAAUUCGUAGAUAUCGGGAGGAAUACCGGUGGCGAAGGCGAUCACCUGGCCAGAUACUGACGCUGAGGUGCGAAAGCGUGGGGAGCAAACAGGAUUAGAUACCCCCGUAGUC
rnacentral:rRNA from 1 species